CGGAGUGUGGCCUAGUGGCUUAGGGCGCCUGCUUUGGGAGCAGGAGAUCCCGGGUUCAAAUCCCGGCACUCCGA
rnacentral:tRNA from 2 species